rnacentral:rRNA from 1 species
GACGAACGCUGGCGGCGUGCUUAACACAUGCAAGUCGAACGGAAAGGCCCUUCGGGGUGCUCGAGUGGCGAACGGGGGAGGAAAACGUGGGUGAUCGGCCCUGCACUUUGGGAUAAGCCUGGGAAACUGGGUCUAAUACUGAAUAGGACCACGCGCUUCAUGGUGUGUGGUGGAAAGCUUUUGCGGUGUGGGAUGGGCCGGCGGCCUAUCAGCUUGUUGGUGUGGUAAGGGCCGACCAAGGCGACGACGGGUAGCAUGGCUGAGAGGGUGAGCGGCCACACUGGACCUGGAAUACGGCACAGACUCCUACGGUAGGCGGCGGUGGGGAAUAUUGCACAGUGGGCGCAAGCCUAACGCAGCGACGCCGCGUGAGGGAUGACGGCAAUCGCGUUGUAAACCUCUUUCAAUAGGGACGAAGCGCAAGUGACGGUACCUAUAGAAGAAGCACCGGCCAACUACGUG